rnacentral:rRNA from 1 species
CCUACGGUGGGCAGCAGUGGGGAAUAUUGCACAAUGGGGGAAACCCUGAUGCAGCGACGCCGCGUGAGUGAAGAAGUAUUUCGGUAUGUAAAGCUCUAUCAGCAGGGAAGAAAAUGACGGUACCUGAUUAAGAAGCCCCGGCUAACUACGUGCCAGCAGCCGCGGUAAUACGUAGGGGGCAAGCGUUAUCCGGAUUUACUGGGUGUAAAGGGAGCGUAGACGGGCUUGUAAGUCAGAUGUGAAAUCCUGUAGCUUAACUACAAAACUGCAUUUGAAACUAUGAGUCUAGAGUGUGGGAGAGGUAGGUGGAAUUCUUGGUGUAGGGGUAAAAUCCGUAGAUAUCAAGAGGAAUACUCAUUGCGAAGGCGACCUACUGGAACAUUACUGACGCUCAUGCACGAAAGCGUGGGGAGCAAACAGGAUUAGAUACCCGGGUAGUC